AUUGAACGCUGGCGGCAGGCCUAACACAUGCAAGUCGAACGGUAGCACAGAGAGCUUGCUCUCGGGUGACGAGUGGCGGACGGGUGAGUAAUGUCUGGGAAACUGCCUGAUGGAGGGGGAUAACUACUGGAAACGGUAGCUAAUACCGCAUAACGUCGCAAGACCAAAGAGGGGGACCUUCGGGCCUCUUGCCAUCAGAUGUGCCCAGAUGGGAUUAGCUAGUAGGUGGGGUAAUGGCUCACCUAGGCGACGAUCCCUAGCUGGUCUGAGAGGAUGACCAGCCACACUGGAACUGAGACACGGUCCAGACCCCUACGGGAGGCAGCAGUGGGGAAUAUUGCACAAUGGGCGCAAGCCUGAUGCAGCCAUGCCGCGUGUGUGAAGAAGGCCUUCGGGUUGUAAAGCACUUUCAGCGGGGAGGAAGGCGGUGAGUUUAAUAAGCUCACCGAUUGACGUUACCCGCAGAAGAAGCACCGGCUAACUCCGUGCCAGCCGCCGCUGUAA
rnacentral:rRNA from 1 species